rnacentral:rRNA from 1 species
UUUCUUGAGGUUAGCGGCGGACGGGUGAGUAACACGUGGGCAACCUGCCUGUAAGACUGGGAUAACUUACGGAAACGUGAGCUAAUACCGGAUAGUUUCACUUCUCGCAUGAGAAGUGAAGGAAAGAUGGCGUCACGCUAUCACUUACAGAUGGGCCCGCGGCGCAUUAGCUAGUUGGUGGGGUAAUGGCCUACCAAGGCGACGAUGCGUAGCCGACCUGAGAGGGUGAUCGGCCACACUGGGACUGAGACACGGCCCAGACUCCUACGGGAGGCAGCAGUAGGGAAUCUUCCGCAAUGGACGAAAGUCUGACGGAGCAACGCCGCGUGAGCGAUGAAGGUCUUCGGAUCGUAAAGCUCUGUUGUUAGGGAAGAACAAGUACCGGAGUAACUGUCGGUACCUUGACGGUACCUAACCAGAAAGCCACGGCUAACUACGUGCCAGCAGCCGCGGUAAUACGUAGGUGGCAAGCGUUGUCCGGAAUUAUUGGGCGUAAAGCGCGCGCAGGCGGUCCUUUAAGUCUGAUGUGAAAUCUUGCGGCUCAACCGCAAGCGGUCAUUGGAAACUGGGGGACUUGAGUGCAGGAGAGGAAAGCGGAAUUCCAUGUGUAGCGGUGAAAUGCGUAGAGAUAUGGAGG